AUUGACAUGCGAGUGAGAUCUCUAAUUUGCCUCAAUGCGCAGAGCUCGUUUCUAAUAUAAUUGAAGCAUUUCAAGAAAUUAGAAGAAAAUCUAAAAAUAAGAUAACUACGCUCUUCAAUAAAGGCAAAAGAUUUUGCUAAUCAAUUUGGAGCCAGAGUUGCGGUUCGAGGCGUAGGAACUGUCGACAAUCAACUCAAAGACCAUUUCCACGAAUCGUAUUUUUGCCCUUUUUUGGAUUCAGUUGUUGGGCAAUUGAAAGAGUUUCACGCCACUGUUUAAAAGCUGCCAAAUGCAACAUACUGAUGCCGAUGUCAUUGCGUAAGUUUAGCAUAGAUACAAAAUGGUAGGGAUUAAUAACCGUAACACCAGUUUCCAUUUUUAGGGUUAUUGAGUUUUCCAAACAUCAUGCGUGCUGUAGCAGACACGAUGUUGCCGAAUGUAAAAAUUUUAUUACAAAUAUUUUGGACACUUCCGGUGACCACAGCAUCGGCAGAACAAAGUUUUUCGCAGUUAC